UACGGAGGGUGCGCGCGUUGUCCGGAAUCAUUGGGCGUAAAGGGCGCGUAGGUGGCCCCUCAAGCGUGCGGUGAAAGUCAGGGGCUCAACCCCUGAUCGGCCGUGCGAACUGGGGAGCUUGAGCACUGUAGAGGCAGGCGGAAUUCCGGGUGUAGCGGUGGAAUGCGUAGAGAUCCGGAAGAACACCGGUGGCGAAGGCGGCCUGCUGGGCAGUUUUGCUGACACUGAGGCGCGACAGCGUGGGGAGCAAACAGG
rnacentral:rRNA from 1 species